rnacentral:rRNA from 1 species
CAAAUGGAGAGUUUGAUCCUGGCUCAGGAUGAACGCUGGCGGCAUGCCUAAUACAUGCAAGUCGAACGAAGUUUCGAGGAAGCUUGCUUCCAAAGAGACUUAGUGGCGAACGGGUGAGUAACACGUAGGUAACCUGCCCAUGUGUCCGGGAUAACUGCUGGAAACGGUAGCUAAAACCGGAUAGGUAUACAGAGCGCAUGCUCAGUAUAUUAAAGCGCCCAUCAAGGCGUGAACAUGGAUGGACCUGCGGCGCAUUAGCUAGUUGGUGAGGUAACGGCCCACCAAGGCGAUGAUGCGUAGCCGGCCUGAGAGGGUAAACGGCCACAUUGGGACUGAGACACGGCCCAAACUCCUACGGGAGGCAGCAGUAGGGAAUUUUCGUCAAUGGGGGAAACCCUGAACGAGCAAUGCCGCGUGAGUGAAGAAGGUCUUCGGAUCGUAAAGCUCUGUUGUAAGUGAAGAACGGCUCAUAGAGGAAAUGCUAUGGGAGUGACGGUAGCUUACCAGAAAGCCACGGCUAACUACGUGCCAGCAGCCGCGGUAAUACGUAGGUGGCAAGCGUUAUCCGGAAUCAUUGGGCGUAAAGGGUGCGUAGGUGGCGUACUAAGUCUGUAGUAAAAGGCAAUGGCUCAACCAUUGUAAGCUAUGGAAACUGGUAUGCUGGAGUGCAGAAGAGGGCGAUGGAAUUCCAUGUGUAGCGGUAAAAUGCGUAGAUAUAUGGAGGAACACCAGUGGCGAAGGCGGUCGCCUGGUCUGUAACUGACACUGAGGCACGAAAGCGUGGGGAGCAAAUAGGAUUAGAUACCCUAGUAGUCCACGCCGUAAACGAUGAGAACUAAGUGUUGGAGGAAUUCAGUGCUGCAGUUAACGCAAUAAGUUCUCCGCCUGGGGAGUAUGCACGCAAGUGUGAAACUCAAAGGAAUUGACGGGGGCCCGCACAAGCGGUGGAGUAUGUGGUUUAAUUCGAAGCAACGCGAAGAACCUUACCAGGCCUUG